GCCUCCUCUAAGUAGAAUCCUCCCACAUUGUAAUUGUAGAUAGCGAUCAACGGGCCUGAACAAACAAGGGGAUAAAUAGGUCAAUCCAUCAUCAAAACAGCUCAGUGGGAGGGAGAGGAAUAUAAAACAGCCCUGAAUGGCAAAGUGGGAGCUACCAGAUUUUAUAAACCUUUAUGUGAUGGACAUGUGUAAGGUGAGUUUAGAAUCAUUGUCUCUUGGGACACACUAAUUGCAAUGCUGGGUACUUCAGAGACCUCCACAGGCUAAGGAGAGCAGUUAUUUUGGGACAAAUCUUCAGGUUAUAUUUGAGACUGGGGUUCAAGUGGAAGUCAAACAGGAAAAAAAGAGAUAUUCAACAAAACCUUAGAGACUUGAAGCCAGAAUCCGUCAAAAAUAGGAGUAAGCUCUGGCCCCACAUUGCUGAAAAUGCAACUGAAAAUGAACUGGCUGUGCCUGUGCCUUGCUGA
rnacentral:lncRNA from 13 species